UACGUAGGGUGCGAGCGUUAAUCGGAAUUACUGGGCGUAAAGCGUGCGCAGGCGGAUUGUUAAGCAAGAUGUGAAAUCCCCGGGCUCAACUUGGGAACUGCGUUUGAAACUACAAGACUAGAGUAGGUCAGAGGGGGGUAGAAUUCCACGUGUAGCAGUGAAAUGCGUAGAGAUGUGGAGGAAUACCAAUGGCGAAGGCAGCCCCCUGGGAUCAUACUGACGCUCAUGCACGAAAGCGUGGGGAGCAAACAGG
rnacentral:rRNA from 1 species